rnacentral:rRNA from 1 species
CACGUAGGGGGCAAGCGUUGUCCGGAUUUAUUGGGCGUAAAGAGCUCGUAGGCGGCUCGAUUAGUCGGGUGUGAAAUUCCGAGGCUCAACCUCGGAACGCCACUCGAUACUGUCGUGGCUAGAGUCCGGUAGAGGAGCGUGGAAUUCCUGGUGUAGCGGUGAAAUGCGCAGAUAUCAGGAGGAACACCAGCGGCGAAGGCGGCGCUCUGGGCCGGUACUGACGCUGAGGAGCGAAAGCGUGGGGAGCAAACAGG